rnacentral:lncRNA from 1 species
AAAAUAAUUAUACAGAUCACCAUAAUGUAGAAUCAGUGGGAGCCCUGAGCUUGUUUUCCUGCAACUAGAUGGUCUCAUCUGGGGCUGAUGGGAGACAGUGACAGAUCAUCAGGCAUUAGGUUCUCAUAAGGAGCAAGCAUGCCACAUGACCCCUCACAUACACAGUUCACAAUAGGGUUCACGAUCCUGUGAGAAUCUAAUGCCUGAGCUGACAGGAGGCGAGGCUCAGGCAGUCACGUGAGCAAUGGGAAGUGGUUGUAAAUACAGAUGAAGCUUUGCUCACUCACUGCUCACCUCCUGCGGGGCAGCCUGGUUCCUAACAGGCCACGGUCCGUGGCCGGGGGGUUGGGAACUCCUGGUGUAAUAGACUCAGGUGCUGUAGGUGGCCAUAUUGACUUUAAUACAAUGUCACACUUAAUUUUGAUGUAAUUUCACACAUACAGGAAAGUAGCAAGAAGAGGAAGAAGAGCUCCCGUGCGCCUCUGCCUGGGUCCAUCUGGCCUCAUUGCUGAUGUUUUAUGAUUCCUCGAAAGAUCUGAAGCUUCCUAGAUGAUGAUGAUGAUGAUGAUGAUGAUUAUGAGAGGUUCGAGAACACAAGGUGAGAUGUGCUGCUGUGUGGCCAGGGUCAUCGACACCAUCCUGACGAAGGCCAGCCUGUCUGCGGCAGCCAGAGGACAGACAGAAGAGCAGGGUGAACCCACAGACUCCCAGAGACCUGGAGGAUGCAGGUACCGUGUGGUCAUUGCCACAGAACCACGAUGGCAGAG